UUAACUCGUCUGCCAUCGCACCCCAACCCAACAGCACACACAUGGCUCUCACCUAUCCAGAACCAAACCUCAACACAAGACAGCAACACGCCCCACCGUCCGAGACACAAUAACAAAAGAAAAACCCAAGCCAAAGGACAACUGCCCUCCACCACAGCCGAACAGAAACAAAAAACCAAAGCCAAACUACAGUCUUGAAUCAGGAAAAGAAAACGCAAAGUAGUCCAAAACAAAUAGUAAAAAUAGCAUCACUAAAAAACACCCUACAAAAUCAUGCAAGCACCAGCAGAUCGAAACAAAAAACAACGCACAAAGAAGUAAAAAUCACAGUUAAAGAAAAAAUAUUAAACAGUCGUUGUAUAGUCCGUUUAUAGCCAGGAAAACAAAGAAAGCUAAGAAUUACAUGAAACACAUAAAGGAAAGAAAAUAAGCAAUACAAAUUUAUCGAAACAGGGAGAUAGCACUAACAGGGAGACCUUUACCAUCACGUCCCGUAGCACCUUCAAAACCAGGAGCACACACCUUCGUAAAGAAAUAGCCCCAGGAGCACUAAGUCGGACUAGGACUCACCUCCCCAAUCGCAACCGGAAAAAGUCACAGGACCACGGCACAGGAGACAAACCCCACAAGAAAACAAAAAAAUAACAGCAAAAAUCCCAAAGCAGUAAAAGAAAUCUAAACUUAUAAUAGGAAAUUUCAUCGUAGAAAGAACCAAUGAAAGAUGCCUAGCACACAUAAGAUAAAAACAGCGAAACCGUAAGGGAAAAAACACACAAAACCAAAAAAAAAUUAAACAGUCCAGUUUACAGUCCCUUUACAAAGUUAUCAUAAAACUAAAACAAGAAGUCUGAUAAAAAAACAAGAAGAUGAACAAGACAAAAAAAAUAACUCCAAGAAGAGGACCCGAGUAAAGACCUCCUCGAACAGGCCGAAACAACGUUGAGCCAGGUGCACGAGCCAGUGAAGAGAGAGCAGCCCUAGGAGCACCAAGAAACAUCAAGAAAAAUGUCACCUCUUUAACGCUGAAAGCUUUCCACCUCCAAAAUUGUUUGUCGCCAGAAAGAAAAGCAAGAAGAAACCAAAAGAAAGCAUCUUCGAACACUAGAAAGCAAACAGGAUUAAGAAGACAAAACUAGAGCAACUGACCAAUUGGGGUAAAGAAGAGCCAAUGAAAAAUAAACAAAACAAUUAAGGAGUAAAACCUGUCAAGCAACCACUUAAACUACCAACAAACCUUAAAACAGAAAAAAAACGACUGAUAAUAUGGGAAGAAACGUAAAAAAUGCACUUGAAAAAGAAACGUAAAAAACAUGCAAACCGAAAGAAACAAAACCACCGCUUGAUAGCCAUCGCCACGGAGCAAGAUCCAAAACCACUAUCAAGACUCCAGCACUCCUACCAAAAAAUGACUAAAGCCACCAUUCAAGAAUGUGCCUUUCCACCGCCAACCAGAGAGAAAUACACCGCACUCACAUAUCCACCGCAAACAGCAAC
rnacentral:lncRNA from 1 species